GUUUAAGAGGUUGACAUUUCUGCCAGUAGUGGCAAAAAGAAGAGAGCUUGCGAAGGAAAGGAGGCAUCUUCGGUUAAAGUCAGAGAGACAGAGUUUUGAAAGAGGCCAUCGCUAGUGGAGGUCAGAAUACAAAGGUUCCAGACAGGAUGUUCUACGAAGCUACAAAAUCACUGACUAAACAACUGGAUCCAGGAGGAGACUUCAUCCCAGUCCGCUGCCCCGCAGACCACAACCAUUUCAGAGUUCUGUGUCUGGUCCAAAGGAACAGCAAGAACCCAUGGUGGCAGAAGAACCAUUACUAUAAAACUGAUUACAAGCUAAGUGAUGUGCUCUUGCCAGGGCAGCACACUGCAAAAUGAGAUAUCUGCGAUUCAGAUUCAUUCACCAUUGUGGACCAAGUGGAUGGAAAAGUAGAGGGGGAUGUGUGUGUGGCUACUGACGUAGCAGCCUUGAGACUGGAAAGCAGAGCCAAUCUGUCUCAUGCAAAAUCUGUAAAAGUGAAAAAGAGGCACGUCAGUUCUCAAGUUCUCGAUUCUCUAGAUGGGAGCAGGUAAGCUGGAAAAGAGCAGAUAUGUGGGUAUCCACCUCCAAGACCCGACCAGAACUAAAACCUGAAGACAACCAAACAUUCUCUCGCCACCACUUUCAUUCAUUCUGUUUCUGAGGUCUCCAAGAGAGCCCUACUCAUUCCCCACCAGGGAGGAACAUGAGAAAAUGAUGCUCUGAGGUCUUCCCCACUAACGAAUCCAAAGCACAAAACAGGGGGGAAACAAGAAAUUCUGUAUCACUAUCUCACUUUUAUCCUGUCAUUCCUCCAAGGAGCAAGAAUUUGCAUGAAUUAUAGACUCACCUGUAAUGCAUCACAACAUCCAGGAAAAGUGUGUUAUGAUUAUAUGUUCAUAAAUAUGAAACUCAACAAUAUGCACCACCAUGAUUUCCGGUGAUAAAACUGAUAAUGGAAUGCAAUUUCAAAUAUACAUUAACUGUUGUCCAAGACAAGAAAAGUUUGGGUUCAUAUUCCCCCUUUCCUGUAAGGAGACUCAAAGGGGCUUACAAUCUCCUUUCCCUCCCCCCUCCCCAACAAACACGUUGUGAGGUGGGUGGGGCUGAGAGAGCUCCAUAGAA